CCUACGGGGGGCAGCAGUGAGGAAUAUUGGUCAAUGGCCGGAAGGCUGAACCAGCCAAGCCGCGUGCGGGAGGAAGGCGCAGAGCGUCGCAGACCUCUUUUGCCGGGGGACAAAAGGCCGGACUCGUCCGGUCCUGAGGGUACCCGGAGAAAAAGCAUCGGCUAACCCCGUUCCAGCAGCCGUGGUCAUACGGAGGAUGCGAGCGUUAUCCGGAUUCAUUGGGUUUAAAGGGUGCGUAGGCGGGGCGUUAAGCCGGCGGUGAAAUCGCGGGGCUCAACCCCGCCGCGCCGGCGGAACUGGGGGCCUUGAGUGCGGCGGAGGUAUGCGGAAUGCGCGGUGUAGCGGUGAAAUGCAUAGAUAUCGCGCAGAACCCCGAUUGCGAAGGCAGCGUGCCGUGGCGCCACUGACGCUGAGGCACGAAAGCGCGGGGAUCGAACAGGAUUAGAUACCCUGGUAGUC
rnacentral:rRNA from 1 species